rnacentral:rRNA from 1 species
GACGAACGCUGGCGGCGUGCCUAAUACAUGCAAGUCGAACGCAGUGGGGACGGUUGAGUAACACGUGGCUAACCUCCCAUCAGAGGGGAUAACACUUGGAAACAGGUGCUAAACCGAUACUGAUGGAUGGACCCGCGGUGCAGUAGCUAGUUGGUGAGGUAACGGCUCACCAAGGCCACGAUGCAUAGGCGGCCUGAGAGGGUGACCGGCCACACUGGGCCUGAGCCACGGCCCAGACUCCUACGGGAGGCAGCAGUGGGGAAUCUUCGACAAUGGACGAAAGUCUGACCGAGCAACGCCGCGUGAGUGAAGAAGGUUUUCGGAUCGUAAAGCUCUGUUGUUAGAGAAGCGGUAUCUGACCAGAAAGCAACGGCUAACUACGUGCCAGCAGCCGCGGUAAUAC